AGUUCACUCCAAAAGCAUUUCACCUGAAACCUCACCUGAGCAUUAACUCCGUCACAUUGGAAAUCGCCUCUGGCGGUGGUAGAGGUCCCAAACCUUCAAACCACAUAUCAGAUUGCUCGUCGUGUUCCCCUCUCCUCGAAUCUCACCACAUCUUUCCCUAAAACCUCAUCCAAUUUUCAAAUCAAGGCCAAGAAUGGAUGAACCCUAACAUACUAAAAACAUAAUUAAACACAAAUAAAAGGGAAUCGAGUCGUGCAACCAUGAGGCUCUGAUUCCCCUCCCUCGAAUCUAUAUCGUGGAAACAAAAUCAGUGCAAGAGAGUGAGGAUUAGAAGGAUCUACUUGCAAGGCAGAGUCUUGCCUUGGAUAAUGUUGAAAAUAAAGGCGACGAAGCUAUAAAGUACAAAAUACCAGAGAUGAGAAUCCAGGCUGGUACUAAUUCAGUGGGGUGAACUUGGUAUGAAACAAAAUGGCAUGGCAUGAAGAGAUUUGAAGUCCUUAAAGAAAAAUGUGGUGCUUGUUUGAAUACAUGGACCAAAAUUCAUGGAGUCAAAAGAAUCAUGAAGGCAAAUCAUGACAUGGUGGAAGAACUCCUUGAAAAGAGAAUACCAAAGUGGACUUAGAGGUUAGGGUAUUUAGUUUGACUUUGGUUAAAUAUUGACCAAAAAAUCAACAGUUGAUUAUAGUAAACUUAAAGUCAAUAAUGUGUAUUUUUGUAUAGAACUCGGCUUUGUAUAUCUUGUAAUGAAACUUGUAAUGUUUGUAAUGAGUUUUGACCUUUGAAUUGUGGCAUGUGACCUAUUCUUUCAGAUA